rnacentral:rRNA from 1 species
GAGACAGCAGUAGCCACGGUAAUGCGUAGGUGGCAAGCGUUGUCCGGAAUUAUUGGGCGUAAAGGGCUCGCAGGCGGUUUCUUAAGUCUGAUGUGAAAGCCCCCGGCUCAACCGGGGAGGGUCAUUGGAAACUGGGAAACUUGAGUGCAGAAGAGGAGAGUGGAAUUCCACGUGUAGCGGUGAAAUGCGUAGAGAUGUGGAGGAACACCAGUGGCGAAGGCGACUCUCUGGUCUGUAACUGACGCUGAGGAGCGAAAGCGUGGGGAGCGAACAGGAUUAGAUACCCGCGUAGUCCCUGUCUCUUAUAC